rnacentral:rRNA from 1 species
UAUUAACGCGAAGAACCUUACCAGCGUUUGACAUGUCCGGACGAUUUCGGGAGACGGAUUUUUUCCCUUCGGGGACUGGAACACAGGUGCUGCAUGGCUGUCGUCAGCUCGUGUCGUGAGAUGUUGGGUUAAGUCCCGCAACGAGCGCAACCCUCGCCUUUAGUUACCAUCAUUCAGUUGGGGACUUUAAAGGAACCGCCGGUGAUAAGCCGGAGGAAGGUGGGGAUGACGUCAAGUCCUCAUGGCCCUUACGCGCUGGGCUACACACGUGCUACAAUGGCGACUACAGUGGGCAGCGAUCCUGCAAGGGUGAGCUAAUCUCCAAAAGUCGUCUCAGUUCGGAUUGUUCUCUGCAACUCGAGAGCAUGAAGGCGGAAUCGCUAGUAAUCGCGGAUCAGCAUGCCGCGGGAAUACGACGA